GGGGACGUGGUCCAGCCUGGCCCAAGACGCUUGAUUGUCACUCAAGAGAUCGCCGGUUCAAAUCCGGUCGUCCCCGCCA
rnacentral:tRNA from 1 species